AUUGAACGCUGGCGGCAGGCCUAACACAUGCAAGUCGAGCGGAUGAAGGGAGCUUGCUCCUGGAUUCAGCGGCGGACGGGUGAGUAAUGCCUAGGAAUCUGCCUGGUAGUGGGGGAUAACGUCCGGAAACGGGCGCUAAUACCGCAUACGUCCUGAGGGAGAAAGUGGGGGAUCUUCGGACCUCACGCUAUCAGAUGAGCCUAGGUCGGAUUAGCUAGUUGGUGGGGUAAAGGCCUACCAAGGCGACGAUCCGUAACUGGCCUGAGAGGAUGAUCAGUCACACUGGAACUGAGACACGGUCCAGACUCCUACGGGAGGCAGCAGUGGGGAAUAUUGGACAAUGGGCGAAAGCCUGAUCCAGCCAUGCCGCGUGCGUGAAGAAGGUCUUCGGAUUGUAAAGCACUUUAAGUUGGGAGGAAGGGCAGUAAGUUAAUACCUUGCUGUUUUGACGUUACCAACAGAAUAAGCACCGGCUAACUUCGUG
rnacentral:rRNA from 1 species